ensembl:lncRNA
CUUUUUGAUGAUGCAACCGAUAAUUGACGACUAAUAAUAAUAAUAAUAAUAAUAAUAAUAAUAAUAGGUUGUGUUGGAUGUGGAAGUGCGGCCAUUUUUUUCUGAGUAAACAAAUAACGUCAUGCUGCAGAGACACAGCGGUCAGAUCUAGUCUGAUCUAGAGAUUAAGAUGAAGGUCAGGUGAGAUAAUCUGACAGUGGUGUUGAGUUCGAGCCGGUGUCAUGUGGAGUUUGUACAGUUUGGUGAGUUCCCUGCUCUAACACACACCUGCCUAAGCUGCACAGUGUGUUACAGAGUGUGUUUGUGUGUGUUACAGAGUGUGUUUAGGAACAGUGGAGUUAAUGUGUGUUAGUGUUUCCCUGAUGUAAUGAGAUGAGAUGAAAAGUAAUGAGAUGAAAAUGACAGUGUUUAGGAACUGAUGUUAGUGUGUUAGGAAGUGUUGGUGUAUUUUGUGGGUGUAUUUGUUUCUGUGUGUGUGUGUGUGUUGGAUUCAUUAAGAGUGUUGGUGUGUAAUAAUGCAUGUUUAGACAGGUGUGUUAGAGUAGGGAAACACUGGUGGACCUCAUUACAUGUGCGUGCUGCGGUGUUCAUUGUUGUAUUGUUCAGAGUUUAGAUGGAGCGUGGAGUUUAGCAGUAUUUGGUAUCGGGCUGUGCAGUGUUGAGGUGUUCGGUGUUGAGGAGUUUGUUGGUGUCGAGAUGUUCGAUGCCGAGUUUGUUGCUGUCGAGAUGUUCGAUGCCGAGUUUGUUGCUGUCGAGAUGUUCGAUGCCGAGUUUGUUGGUGUUGAGGUGUUCGAUGCCGAGUUUGUUGGUGUUGAGGUGUUCAGUGCCGAGUUUGUUGGUGUUGAGGUGUUCAGUGCCGAGUUUGUUGGUGUUGAGGUGUUCGAUGCCGAGUUUGUUGGUGUUGAGGUGUUCAGUGCCGAGUUUGUUGGUGUUGAGGUGUUCAGUGCCGAGUUUGUUGGUGUUGAGGUGUUUUGUGUUGAAUUAUUUGUUGUCAUGUUUGUAGAUGUUGAGUUGUUCCUUAUGAAUCUGAAUACUACAGUAACAGGAAGAAAAAAAUAAAUGGCCAGAAGUGUUCUCAUGGUAAUAUUUAACCACGUGAAUAUAACCCACACUGUGUUUAUUAUUUUAUUCACGCCAUUAUUUCACGAUACCUCAUUAGCACCAGUCCUUACCGUUGAUCAUCAAAUUCACAAAUAGACAAUU